GCCCCGCCGCCGACGCCCAGUAGAGCCCCCGGGGCGGUCCCCACCGACGGCGCAGCCCGCCGGGACCGGGAGAAAGCAGCUGCGGACACCGCGCCCGUGCGUCUGCGCGCCUGGCCGCCAGGUGACCCAGCAGCCCGGCCGCCGAGAUGCCCAACCCGCCCAGGCUCCGGGCGCUGUGACUUCGCGCCGCUGUGUGCGCCUCCCCGAGCGCCGGCUGCGCCCCCCAGCCCGGCCCGGGGCCUACCGCCUGCCCGGCCCCCUGCCACUGCCAGGAGGACGGCAUCAUGCUGUCUGCCGACUGCUCUUGAGCUUGGGCUGUCCGCCAUACCGGGGGACCUGGAUCCCCUGACGGCUUACCUUUUCCUCCUAAACUGUGGUCUCAGCGAGGCUCAUUGACACUCACCGGGGUUUCGACAUUCUCCCUGGCUAGGGCCUGUUCUGGAAAUAGACCAAGGGGGAGAUGGAGCCCCUGGCCGUGGGACAUCCAAUCUGAUGGUGAUGAGAAGGCAUGAUGCCUCUUGUUCUAUUCUUUUUUGUUUCUUCUUUUUUUUUAAAUAAAAAAGACCAGUAAUGUGCUGACUUCAUAACAAGGUUUGAGGGAGGCACUUCUCACACGUGAGCAUGAAAACCCAAUCGUCACGCUUCUUAACUGCAAAAGGAUCACCUCUUGUUCUAUUGUAUUGCAUGUACACAUGAUGCACAGACAGGAAUACACAGACAGCAAAUAACUUGUUGGGCAGAUAAUCCCCGGAGUUGUUCCUGAGUAGAAAGAUCUGGGUAGUUACUCUGGGCCCCCAAGGCUGAGCAGUGUCAGUAAACAGAUGGUGCCAGAAAAGGUAUCUCACGCAGCUAGUUGUGAAAGACGUCAGGCUCAUGCACUUGCAGUCACACCUAAGCACCCAUUUUCAUAGCCCACUGCCACCAGGGCUGAGGGAGGGGCCGCUACACCAUGCAACCCCCACUUCAGACUGCUGUUUGCUUUCUUGGGAAUUAUAACUUUAAGAUUGCCUGUGAUAACUGAUAACCACUGGACUUGUUUGAAAGGUUAGAUGGUGUGUGCAUGUGUGUCUGUAUGUGCGUGUGUGUCUGUGUGUGUCUGCGUGUUUCUCUGUGUGUGUGUAGAUACAGGGUAAUUUGCAGGGGAUGUCUACAGCCAAAAUGAUGGAGGCAGGAUGCUGGAGGCAGAGAGUAAGGGGUUGUGGCAUUUGCCACAACAAAGCAGAGUUCAAACUAUCACUUACUAGCUAUGUAACCCCCAGCCAGUUGAUUAGCCCUUCUGUGACUUAGUUUCCUCACCUGUAAACAGGGUUAAGAUCUACCUCAUAGGGUUGUUGUGUGGAUUCACUUAGAUGAUGUUUGCAAAGGGUUUGGCAUAAUGUCUGGUACAUGGGAAGAGCUCAAUAAAUGUUAGCCAGUGCUGUUAUUAGGAUAACCAGGGCGAAGAAAUGUCAGUCAUGGAAGUCUUCCUGGAGGAGGAAGUCCUGGAGCUAGCAUGGGAGGGAGGGAAGCAGGCCUAUUCUAUGAAAGGUGUAGGAUAGGUGUGUGUGUAGUUGCGGGCUGUGAGAGGUGCAAGAAGCUGCGAAGAAGAUGGAAUGAGCUCUGCUGGGAACCCAGAGUAAUUUUAGGGUUUUUUUUUUUUGUUUUUUUUUUUUUUAGAAUACAGUCUGAAAAACCAGGGAGGGGAGGGGAGCACCUGAUGGAAGACGCCAGCGUGCUCCCUUACAUGGUCUAGACGGGCCCCUGCAGGGGCUACAGAUGAGGAGGCAGAGAAACAGGCGGCCUUAACAGGGGAGAGCCAGCCUUGGAGAGGAUGUAUUGUGAAUUGGGGGUGGGGGUGCCAACGUGCCAGGUCUCAUUUCUCACUUCCAAGGCCACCCUUCCCUGGCCCAGUCUUAGUCGCCCUUUCUAAUAGAUUCUAAGAGUUUGACUCCUCCUU
rnacentral:lncRNA from 1 species